rnacentral:rRNA from 1 species
UACGUAGGGGGCGAGCGUUGUCCGGAUUUAUUGGGCGUAAAGAGCUCGUAGGCGGUUGGGCAAGUCACGUGUGAAAUCUCCACGCUCAACGUGGAGGCGCCACGUGAGACUGCCCUGACUCGAGUCCGGUAGGGGAGCGUGGAAUUCCCGGUGUAGCGGUGAAAUGCGCAGAGAUCGGGAGGAACACCCGUAGCGAAGGCGGCGCUCUGGGCCGGUACUGACGCUGAGGAGCGAAAGCGUGGGGA